CCGAGAGAAAACAAAAACAGUCAUGGCAACACGUAAGGGAGUCUCGCUCUCGGUCUUUAUAUCGUUUCUGCUGCAAUUCGUCCUGCAGGUGUCUGGUGAAUUCCCAAUAUGCGGAGUCCUGAGCAGUCGGCCAAAUGCCUCCACCACAUUUACCGAGAAGCACUGCAUUGUGUAUUUCAAUAGCAUAACAACUUUAGUUGAUAGUGAGGAGAGUGCAGUAUACUACCCUGUGUCUGAUGCGCUGGAAUGGAAUGUCUGCAACCAGGAUGAGCCUCCUCCAUCGUCAAUUGAAGAUCAUUAUAUAUUUCUUUCCAUGGAGAACAAUUGUUCAGCCUUAGACCAGGCCAACAGAGUUCAGGACAUGGGUGGGGCCGGCACCCUUAUGGUCAUGGAGAAACUGCAGUCACUGGAGAUGAAGACAGAAGGAUAUAAUAUCACCUUGGCUUUUGUGGAUAACUCAAGCUAUGUGAAGAUCAUGAAUUCAGGUGAUGAAGUGACAGUGGGACUCUACCUACCCAAAGAUUCUCCCAUCCAUUUAAGCCUCAUUGUCAUCUGGUUUCUUGCCAUGUUCUCAGUUGUUGUUGGGGCCUAUUGGUCUGGGACUGUCCGCCAUGAAUUGUAUAGAGUACAACAUGAGCAAGAAGGAGAGCACAGAGAUGUUGCCCGAGAGCCAGUGUUGCCCCACGAAGAAACCUCCAUUAAUAUGACAGUGAGAAGCAUCUUGGGAUUUGUAGUCUUGAUGUGCAUCAUGCUGCUAUGUCUGUAUUUCCUCUAUAGUUAUCUGGUGUACAUCAUUAUCGGAAUGUUCUGCCUAGCUUCUGCCAUUGCUACAUAUUGCUGUCUUGAUCCAUUGGUGUCAAGAAUGCCAUGUGGCACAACCAGAACUCCAUACUUCAACAUAUACAUUGUACGUGGCACACUGAUGGUUCGCCAGAUCCUGCUUUUGAUAUUUGCCUUUGGACUGUCAAUCACUUGGGUGGUGCUAAGGAAGGAGCCAUGGGCUUGGAUCUUGCAGGAUAUUCUAGGAAUUAUGUUCAGCAUCAAUGUUUUGAAAAUGAUCCGACUACCGAGCCUUAAGAUCUGCACUUUCUUAUUGUGUGGCCUUGUGAUCUAUGACAUUUUCUUUGUAUUCAUCACUCCGCUUCUUACAUCGGAUGGUAAGAGCAUAAUGGUUGAGGUGGCCAAGGGAGGUCCCAGCCAGGAGCAGAUGCCAAUGGUGCUCAAAGUGCCAAACUUCGACUAUGAGCUUUCCAAGAUUUGUGACCUGCAGGAGAAUUACAACCUACUCGGUUUUGGAGACAUCCUCAUACCAGGGCUCCUUGUGUCUUUUGUGCACUCUUUCGACCUACAGGCAGGCACACCUUGCCGCCUUUACUUCCUCAUCAAUAUCAUAGGCUACGGCUCGGGCCUGGUGACCACCUUCAUCGCCCUGUGGCUCAUGAGCUUCGCCCAGCCCGCCCUGCUCUACCUCGUGCCCUUCACGCUCAUCCCCACCUUCGUCACCGCCGCCGCCAGAGGGGAGUUCAUGGCCAUGUGGCGGGGCGACUCCGACAAGCAACCCCUUCUGCGUAAAUGUUGCUAGGCCUUCGUCUAGGCCUGGCCUGUUAUUUGCGACCUGACGACCCUUUUUCCCGAGUUCGACUGUGACGCCGACGCCGACGCCGAAUCGGUGGAGGAGACCCACAACGCCGCCAACGCCGCCAAC
rnacentral:misc_RNA from 1 species